AGCCUCAUUCUAGAUGCAAAUGGGCACUGUUGUUCAUGGUGUCCAGAUAUUAUUGAUGUGGCCAUGCUGAGACAUAGGUUUUGCUGUCAUCACAGUAAUUUUAUUGCAGAGGUGACAGGGAGACCUGUGACCUGU
ensembl:snoRNA